ensembl:snRNA U6 U6 spliceosomal RNA
AUGCUCGUUUCAGUAGCACAUAUACUAAAAUUGGAAUGAUACAGAGAAGAUCAGCAUGGCCCCUGAGCAAGGAUGACACACAAAUUUGUGAAGCAUUCCAUUUUUCC